rnacentral:lncRNA from 1 species
GCGCACCGGAAGUGUCCUUACAUCGUGAGUUGGCUCCUGCCAACGACGCGAGGCUGGGCGGAUAAAAGCGAAGUAGCGUCUGGUAACGUCCUGGGGUGUCUCCGAGAGAUGACGUUUCGAGACGAUGCGCUCGGCCGUCUGCGGAAACCGGAAACCGUGCCUCCCGCUGCACCUUCGCUCUGCCAGGCAGGGCUACCUCCAGGCACUCGGUAGCGUAGUCUGCAGGCCGAGCAGCAUUUGCACUCGUGACAAGCUGCUUGUGCCACUCAACCUUCCGCAGCCAGACAUUUGUUUCUACCCAUCAGACUAAUUGCUCUGACGUAUAGACGCCUCCAAAGUGGCGUCGUGCCAUCCAAUGGAAAAACAAGUUGUCUUUCUGACCUACCCAGGACCCAGGAAGCUGAAUUCACAGGUAGGCUAGUUAACAUCCUAUGAUGAGGAAGUCCCCUGCACAAGAAAACAUUGAAACGAAUCCAGUUUCCUCAGCCAACCUCCUUAAAACAACCUCUUCUGCUUGGCCUACGAUAGUGGUUGAGUCUUUAUGUUAUUGUUUUGCUUUGAAAUAGAGUUUAGUACGUAGACCUAGCCUCUAUUUCUGGCCUGUAUCUCUGUAUUCUUUUUGUUUUCUUUUCAUUCUAAAUGCUGAAGUGUCUAGACACUUCUCAAACGUGUACUUAAACCACCUGAAGGUCUUAAAGGUUUUUACGAUUCCACUAAAAACCUAUUAACCUAUCAGGGCUUAUGGAAGAGAGAGCAGAAAGGAAAAUUCCAGCUGCUUGUUUUUGUCAGGUUAUCCUGUGGGUAUUGGGGAAAAAAACAAACAAACAAAAAGCAAUGCCAUGCAUCAGUGGAGCACACCUUUAAUGCCAGCACUAGGGAGACAGAAGCAGGCGGACCUCUUGUGAGUUUGAGGCCAGCCUGGUCUACAGAGCUAGUUCUAGGACAGCCAAGGCUACAAAAGCAGCUCUGUAUCGUGAAACAAAAAAUAGCAAUAUGAUUAAAUUUCUUGAGUUAGGGUCAGAAACAAACAAAAUGAAAAGGAAACCACUGUUAGUUAUGACUGUGAAAUGGUAAGAUGUGAAAGAAUAUAACAACUAGUGUAUGAAAAAAAUGAGGGAUAUUGGAGUGAAACACUUUGUGAUCCCAGCUCUUACUUUGCCUCCAGAGUUAUCAGUGACUUGGAAACUAAGUCUGAUUUCAGUAGCAUACAUAACAGAGUUAUACAAGCCAGGUGGUGGUGGCUCACAUCUUCGAUCUUAUCACUUUGUAGACAGAGGUACCGUUUAAAGGUGGCCUGGUCCACAGGGUUACACAGAAAAACCUUGUAUCAAAAAAAAGGAAACCAAACGAACAAAAUAGUUACAUGUUUUCAUAUUCAUACAAGAACCAUUGGCAGCUUGGAUAAAAAGAAUGAGGAGGCUACUGCAGGAUUAAUUACACAAUACCAAUUUAUUUCAGGAAUCACUGAAUUAUCUAACAGAAUUCUUUUCUAGGAGGCAUUAAUAUAAUUAUUUAAAUACUGAAAGAGGUGAAAUACAAAACAGUGUACAUUUUAUGAUGUGUUUUAAUUCUCUAGUAUUGUUUGGUAUAAAGCAAAUAUGACUUGGCUUUGAUGCAGACAAUUGUCCACCCUAAACUGUGGCCUUUUCCAAAGUGCCAACAUUGAACGAACAUUGAACGAACAUACUCACAAUUACAUUAUUAUUAAGUCCAGACAUUACAAAUGAAUUUAGUAUGCAGCUUGAGUCCCAGAAAUGAAAAGUAAAAACAAACAAAAACCCCACAAACACACAACUAGCCAACUUGAUUUAAUUCAAACUAAACUUGGACAUAUUAGGAAGGGUCCAGCAGCUGGCAAAGUCAGGAUCAGAGUACCCAGGAAAACGUACUUCAGAGACACUGAAGUUAAAACCUACUACACUCUAAUUGUGGUGGAUACUAUUUGUCCACAAUCAGCAUGUCCUGUUCUAAUUCAUGGGGAGAGCAAAGGCAUUGAUAAACUAAGAAAAACAGGCUGGAGGCCAUGUCUCAGAGAAAGAAUAGCAGCCUAGCAUUCCUGAAGCCCUGAGUACUAUGCCUAGCAUAAUAAACGAAGGGUGGGAGAAUGAAGAGAUGAAGAGGCCGCCUCACAGGGAGAUCAAUAUUUACGUGUUAAGAAAAAACAAAAGAUUGAUGUUCAAAGGCAGGAGUCAGAAGUGGUGACACGUACUUGUAAUCUCAGUCCUGAGAACGAUGACUUAGAAGAAUCUAGAGUUCAAGGACACUAUGGGUUACAUAGGUAAAUGCAAUCUCAGGAGGAGCCGGCAUUGUUUCCCAUCUGUACUAACAUCUUUCUUUACCCCUUUCCAAUGUUAAGAAGACAUCACUUGCUGGGCGGUGGUGGCGCACGCCUUUAAUCCUAGCACUCGGGAGACAGAGGCAGGUGGAUUUCUGAGUUCGAGGCCAGCCUGGUCUACAAAGUGAGUUCCAGGACAGCCAUGGCUACACAGAGAAACCCUGUCUCCAAAAACAAAAAAAAAAAACAAAAAAAAA